CCUACGUGGUGCUGCAGUGGGGAAUAUUGGACAAUGGGCGAAAGCCUGAUCCAGCCAUGCCGCGUGUGUGAAGAAGGCCUUCGGGUUGUAAAGCACUUUCAGUGGGGAAGAAAGCCUUGGGGCUAAUACCCUCGAGGAAGGACAUCACCCACAGAAGAAGCACCGGCUAACUCCGUGCCAGCAGCCGCGGUAAUACGGAGGGUGCGAGCGUUAAUCGGAAUUACUGGGCGUAAAGCGCGCGUAGGCGGUCUGAUAAGCCGGUUGUGAAAGCCCCGGGCUCAACCUGGGAACGGCAUCCGGAACUGUCAGGCUAGAGUGCAGGAGAGGAAGGUAGAAUUCCCGGUGUAGCGGUGAAAUGCGUAGAGAUCGGGAGGAAUACCAGUGGCGAAGGCGGCCUUCUGGACUGACACUGACGCUGAGGUGCGAAAGCGUGGGUAGCAAACAGGAUUAGAUACCCUGGUAGUC
rnacentral:rRNA from 1 species